AUUGAACGCUGGCGGCAGGCCUAACACAUGCAAGUCGAGCGGAUGAAGGGAGCUUGCUCCUGGAUUCAGCGGCGGACGGGUGAGUAAUGCCUAGGAAUCUGCCUGGUAGUGGGGGAUAACGUCCGGAAACGGGCGCUAAUACCGCAUACGCCCUGAGGGAGAAAGUGGGGGAUCUUCGGACCUCACGCUAUCAGAUGAGCCUAGGUCGGAUUAGCUAGUUGGUGGGGUAAAGGCCUACCAAGGCGACGAUCCGUAACUGGUCUGAGAGGAUGAUCAGUCACACUGGAACUGAGACACGGUCCAGACUCCUACGGGAGGCAGCAGUGGGGAAUAUUGGACAAUGGGCGAAAGCCUGAUCCAGCCAUGCCGCGUGUGUGAAGAAGGUCUUCGGAUUGUAAAGCACUUUAAGUUGGGAAGAAGGGCAGUAAGUUAAUACCUUGCUGUUUUGACGUUACCAAAAGAAUAAGCACCGGCUAACUUCGUG
rnacentral:rRNA from 1 species